rnacentral:lncRNA from 1 species
AGUAGCUUCAAAAGAAAUUUAACACUCAUACAUACCAUUUAUUAUUAACAUCAACACUUUCCCAAUCCAGAAGUAUCUUCCAUAAGAAUAUAUGAUAAAAAUAACUUGCAACAACUAUUGCACAUUUCAUCAAACACCUAACAGACACAAAAUUCCACGAAAUAAAAAUCAGCCAUUUUCUCAUAAAACAAGAAUCUCAAAGAACAAGUGAUUCUACAACUAACCAAAAACAAAGAUCAAAAAAGAAAAUCACUCAAGUACAACCGUAGCACCCAAUUCCUUAAGCUUAUCAAUAAUAGAACUAGCCUCUUCCUUAGUAACCCCCUUCUUCAAAACACAAGGAAAUUUCUCAACCAAUUCCUUAGCUUCCUUCAAUCCUAAAUCAGUAAAAGACCUAACCUCCUUAAUUAUCUUAAUCUUCGCAGCAGCAUCAUACUUCUCAAGCUUUAUAUCAAAAGCCGUCUUCUCCGCAGGAGCGGCGGUUAAAUCUGCAGCGGCGGGGCCGGACGCGGUCGAACCCAAUGGACCAAGGCCGCCGGCGACUGGAGCACCGUAACGGUCUAGGCCCAUUUUGAGUCUCCAUAGGACGGUGAAGUCGUGCCGUUCGAAUCUGUUGAGGUUGAAAAGCUCAUCUGCUAUGCGUUCGAUUUUUUGGGGGCGAGAUGGUUCGGUGGAGAGAGAGCGAAUCAAUUUGACGAAUCUUAGGGAGUUUCGUGACAUUGUUGAGUUUUCGUUAUGCAGAGGUUUCUGGUUCAGAGUGGAGAAGGAGAAGAAAUGAAAAAGUGAUUUUGGGCUGAAGAUCAAUUUUAAGAUGGAUUAAAACUAGAAUUACUACUCACACCCUUCUUUUAUUCUUACACUAUUGUUGGAAUGAAAAGUGUAAUAUUCAAAAUAUUUCAUCUCCAAAUAUGAAUUUCGAAAUAAAGUAUGCGUAAACAAAAUAAAUUCCGCAAGAAUGAGAAAAAGAAUGGGAAAUUAAAGAAUGUUGCAUCAAGACCGCAAACAAAAUAAAUUCCCUCUAAAAUGAGAAAAAGAAAAUCAAUAUGCGUAAAAUUGUGUAUAUAAUAUCAAGAAUGAGAUUAUUAUUUUUAAUAACAAGAACGAAAUUAUUACUUUCAAAUUUUUCCAAACUUUUAUAUUUAUUUAUCUUUUUUAUAAGCUUUUGCAUAAUAUGUCGGAUACAACAAACAUAUACUGUUUGUGGAAGAUUUUGUCGACCAUUAUUUAAAUUAUUAUAUGCAAUUUUUAAAUUAUCUAUGUCAAUUUAGAAUAAGUAUAAUAGCUCCAACAUCGUGUUAGAAAUUUGUCAUAGGUGGGGUUUGAGGACAUCUUAAUUAAUAUAUUUUUGUAUUUUUUAUUAAUUAUUAAUACUAUUAAUUGUUAAUUUGUUUUUAAUUUUAAAUUUUAAAUCUUUACUAACAUAAAAAAAAACUUAUUCAUAUCAUGCCAUUUGGUUUGGAUGUGUCCUAGAAAACCAAAAUAGGACAUUUGAAGAACUAAUUUUUAAAGAAAGUUUUACCUCUCAUAUGCUACCGUUACCUAUAUUUUAAAAAAAUACUAAUUUUAUUCUUAUAUAUUUUUAAUUAAUUUAUUAUUUUAUUUUAAAAAUAUUUUUUAAAUUUUAUUUUUGUGUAUCAGAAGAUUUUAUAAAAGAGUUCAUAUAAUCAUUUUCAAGUAUUUUUUAAUAUUUUUUUAUAUAUUGGAAGACUUUGCAAAAGAGUUUCAAUAGUCAAUUUUUGUGUAUCAGAAAACUUUGCAAAUGAGUUCGGGUAGUCAUUUUUCAAGUAUUUUUUAAAUUUUGUGUAUAUCUGAAUACUUUGCAAAAGAGUUCUGGUUGUUAAUUUUUGUGAACCGGAAGAAUUUGCAAAAGAGUUUCGGUAGUCAUUUUUUAAGUUUUUUAAAUAUUUUUUUGUAUAUCGGAAGACUUUGCAAAAGAGUUCCGAUAGUUAAUUUUUGUGUAUCAGAAGACUUUGCAAAAGACUUUCGGUCGUCAUUUUUCAAGCAUUUUUUUUAUAUAUCGGAAGAUUUAACAAGAGAGUUUCAGUAGUCAAUUUUUGUAUACUGGAACUCUUUUGCAAAGUCUUCCGGUACACACAAAAAAAAUUAAAAAAUAUUUAAAAAAUAUUAUCAGAAUUCUUUUGCAAACUCUUUCGUUACACAAAAUAAAAUUUAAAAAAUAUUUUAAAAUAAAAUAAUUAAUUAAUUAAAAAUAUAUAAGAAUAAAAUUGAUAUUUUUUUUAUAAAAUGUAGGGGUACAUGGAUAAAUAUAGGGUUAUAAAGUAAAGUUUUCAUUUUUAAAAUAUGAAAAUCAUUGAGACUUUGAUGAGUAUAUGGACUCACAAAACUUCAUGGGCCGUGUUUAAAGUGUAUUAUUCUAAGGAAUAUGUUAUUGUCACCUCCUUGAAAACAUCUAUAAUUUUUUUUAUUGGCUUAAAUACACUUUUAUCCUUUUAUUUUAAAGUUUUUUAAAAUUUAGUUUCCCAUUUUAAAAAUAAGAAUUUUAGUUUCUAAAUUUACUUUCUUUGAGAUUUUCAUAAUUCUCCUCCAUUUGACGGUCUUAUUAAUGACUUGACACAUAUAUAUUACCUCCAUGUCAUAUUUAAUAAAUAUUUUAUUUCACAUUAUUUAAUUUUAGUAUAGAAAAACAAUUCCAAAUUAAAUAAUGAUUUUAAUUAAAUUGUUAUUAUGGUAUUUAUUAAUGGAAACCCAAAAACACAAAUUUGCAGUCGUGAACCCUAGCCGUCUUCGUCUUCCAACUUGAAAUCAAACACGGAUUUUGUUUUCCAUUUUCAAUUCUCCAUUUUUGUUUUCUUACCAAGUUGUCUUCCUCCUUUAAAAUAUCCAACAUGUUUAGGUUAUGUGUUGUAACCGUUCUACUUUGAAAGAUACAAAACUGUGAAACUUGAUUUGAUAAUAAAAUAAAAUUACAAUAUUGUGUAUCAACUUGUAACAUUGAUACCAUAACUUAUUGAUUUACAUAAAACACACCAUAGCUUAACUUGAUUUUGAAAUGAACUACUAGCCUUACCUAAAGUUUCAGGGGUAGUACUUUGGUCUAACCCAUCUCCUUAUAAUCUUCACUGGCCCCCAUUAACUUCAAUAUCUUUACUAUAUUCAAUAUACUCACUUUCAACAUAAUCAUCAUCAUUCAAUUCAACUUUUUCAUUAUUGAAUUCAACAUUAGGCUCAUUAACUUCAGCUUGUUCAUUAUUAACUUCAACAUUACCCUCACUAACUUCAAUGUUGCCCUAACUAACUUCAGUUUGUUCAUUAUUAACUUCAGCAUUGCCCUCACUCACUUCAACUUCUUCAUCACUCAAAUCAAUAUUAGGCCCAUUCACUUCAACAUCAGGCUUACUAAAACCAAUACAUUGUACAUCAUCCUCAUUAAUGUAGUUAUCUAAUUCACUUGGAUCCAUAAUUGAUGACUUCUCAGCAAGUAUACCGAUACUGUCAAAGUAAUAAAAAUAUUGAAUCCACGGGGACUGCCUCCAAGCAAGAUAAAAUAUGUGAAAUUUGGAAAAAAAACUAGUAAAAUUUGGGGUUUUUCAGGUUUCAGUGUGGAAAGUAAAUAAACGAGCAAACAACAUCACAAAAGUGAUCAUGUUGUGUUGUAGAAUCCCUUAUUCCUCUCUUGUUGAUGUCCGAUGCCAUUUAUGAAUUAUCUAAUCACUAUAACCUCACGGCGAAUUAACAAAUUCAUUAUUGUCGAUCCCUCACGAAAUAACUCACUAACCACUACCUAGAGCUUUCUAUUCCUAGUCCGCCGACGUAAGCGGUGUUAGGCGAUGUAUAGAACGUUAAUUCUCUAUGCCACUACUAUGGGUCUCCUAUGUCUAUUCAACCAACGUAAGUACAUCAAUUUCCCUAGGUCCAACUCAUAGACUAAUGACAAUUAUUUACUAUGUGUCCAAAAUUAAAUUAAAAGAUCAUCUCACAUAAAAAAAACAUUAUGAAUAAGAAGCAAUUGAAUAAAAUUAUAGAUCAAUAGGUUCAUACAGUGGUCAAAUCAACAUAGAAUCCAACAAUUGAGAAACACGUUCAUCAUAACACAACCUAACCUAGAAGAAUUUAGUUAUUCAUAUUGUAAUUAAAAAUACCACAAUUGAUAAACAAUGAUAACAUAAGAAGUCCCUUAAAGAGAUGUCCUCCAAUGGCUUCAAAUGCUAAAAAAAUCACCAGUUGUGCUCUCUAAUUCGUGCUUCAAUCUCCCAAAAGUGCAACUCUUAUAAAUGUGCUAGAAAAACCUCUUUUGAAGGCAUCAGAAUGGACCAGAACGCGUCAGAAAAAGGCCCGGAAAAGUAACCACCGCGUGCAAGAUACCCUGCAUCGCACGCACGAUUCAGCUUUUAAUGCCCUAUCGUGUGCGCGAUGCUGCGCGAAGGUGGAUGUGAUAAUUUCCGAAGCUUUACUCUUUUUUGCUCAAUUUUCACUCAAAUUUUUACUAAGUCCACAAUUUUGAUACUUAGCUAUUUUUCCUUCAUUCUUUGGUCAUUCUUACUCAAAUUCGCUCGACUUUCACUUGUUUUGCUCUGAUUCUUCGACUAAAUGUAUGCAAUGACGAACUGUCACCAACAAUCACAAGAGGGUCAGAUACUUUGUACUCCACAUAUACAUCUAUCACCUCGUGUCUUACAACAUCUUUGGCAAACUGCAACACAUCCUUAUCAUUAUUCAAUGGCCUAAGACCAUGUGAAAAGCCGAAGACACGGUUCCAAUACCACAAACACUUUAUGUCUACAUAACUCUCACUUUUAAUCAGUCUCUCCACAUCCAUGUAUGACAUGACAUCCAAACCUCACUGCCAAUUCAUCUCAGUUACCUCUCCACCAACAUACCACUUAAUAGGUUUAGAAACUAACCUCCCCUUGUGGUGUAUUCUUAACCUAACUUUAUUAGUUUGACUUGACCUGAAAAUUAAUUGAAUACAUAUGGAAUAAGUUAACAUUCAGUGGGACUACAACAAAACAUUAAACAAACAUGGUGGACCACAACAUUAGAAUAAUACACGUAAACAAGAAAACAACUAUGGAACCACAACAAGUUCACAUGAAUGAAAUGGAUAGUGGACCACAAAUAAACAUACAACAGCAAAAAAAAAAUAACUGGGACAUGGUAACACUCAAAAGGGGACAAGAAAACAUACCUUAAACAAAAUUUCACCUGUCCACUAGUCAUAUUCGCGAACCCUGGGUACAAAAUGUUGCAACUAUGAGCUUUAUGUUUGAUGUUUGAAUCGGUGUUCAAAAAGGAGUUAAAGUUUGUGUUCUUCUUUAGAGAGAGAAAGCAAAAGGGAAUUAGGGUUCAAAAAUAAAUUAUGUCAUCUAGUUUACAACAUGUUGACUUUAUAUUGUUUAAAAUUAAAAUAAAAUGAUUUACAUAAAUUAAAAAUAUUUUGUAAAAUAAAAUAUAAGUAAAUGUCAUUAAAAUAUUCAAAAAAAAUACAUGGAUCCACAGUGGCAUUGCCAUGUCAUAAUUAGCAUGCUAAGUGUUCAAAAGUGGAGGGGCACCAUGGAAAUCUCAAGGGAAGUAAAGUUUAGGGAACAAAAAGCUAAUUUUUAAAAUGGGGGACUAAAUUUUAAAAAACUUCAAAGGAGGACCGGAUUUUUUUCCAAAAUAUUGAAAAAUUCGAUAGUGUAAAAUCACUGGGUUUUUUAUAAAGCUCAUGCAUGUGCCAGACUUUUAGAUGGGCUACAAAAGUCGGGUAGGUUAAACUUUAAUGGUUGAGAAUUUGCCUAUAGUUUUGUAAAGUUGUGAUUGCAUCGACAAUUGUGAUUGGUCCAUAAUAAAUUCAAAGUUGUAUAAAUAGAGAUCAUAUGUUGUUAAAAAAUAUCUCAGAAUGUCUUAAUAUUCGUUUAUGGCAGUUGUGUUCUUCAACAGUGUGAAACCUCUUGUUGAUUUUUGAGUGCCUGAGGACACCACCAGUAUCACUGAUUUGAGAUCCUUAUUGGAUAAUCUGUUACCCCACACCGAUAACAAAAAUGUGGUUAAGAUAGAUUUUUGUGCACCAUGAAUUGAUAUUGAAUGAAAUGUUAAAUACAACAACAUUGAGCUGAAGACUGGUGAAGACUUUAAGGUUAUAUGGAGAAUAUAUCACUGUAGGCAAACAAAGGGACCAAUUGAGUUUGAUGCGACAAUUUCUAGAUAUGUGAACGAUAUAAUCAAGAUGUUGAAAUAUCCUGAAUCAUCUAGUAGUGUCUAAGAUUUAUUAUUUAUUAUUGUUUUUAUUAAGUUAUUUAAUUGCAUGUGUUAAGUUAUGUUAAUUUUCAUGUGUUAAGUUAUGUUAAUUGUCAAGUGUUAAGUUAUGUUAAUCCCGCAAUGAUAAAGUGUUAUCUAAUAAAUUUUACAGUUCAAACGUCUGAGUAAUAAUACAAAUAAUACAAAAAUAAUAAAAUCUACAUUAGUCUCCCACAGGCUAUGUGUGAUGUCUGUGAUGCCAAAGCAUAAAUCUCACCACUGGGUUUAUCAAACACAUGAUGUUAUCCAAAGUGACUGCUGUCAUCUACAAACUCUACUAGUCAGCCACAUCUGGUGGAGGUGGUGGAGGCGAUUACACGCCAUUAGAAGGCCCCAUAGCAUAAGAAGGUCCAACAUCAUCUGCAUGCUUAACUUAUGGGAUGAUGCAAGGUUGUGGUACAGUAAGGUACCACUCUAAGUAACAAUCCACACACUGCCCAGGGAACUAUGCCUCUAUUACAUGAUUUGUAAUGGCAUGGGUAGAGCUGCCAAUGUUACCUAUAAACCAUCAAUCAAUGCCCUUAGCUCGCACAACAUGGACUGGUCGUGGGACGUCCUAGACAUACCCAAACUAGUGCAAACAUCUCUCACGUAAGUGUAUAUCAACUAAGGUCUCAUAUCGUAGGUAAAAGAAAAGGGAAGUCUCAUCAAACUUCCGAUGUACUUUAUGGUCCGUGUAUGGUGUCUAGAUGAUAUCGUCUAUAGUAAGCACGUAAAUCUUUUUCAUGUACUCCAGAAAACCUCCUGGGUGUCCAUGUAUGGCAUUCCAUCUCUUGGCCCGUGUGGAUCCAGCAGUGGUAGAAGUAACCCAUCUGUCACAAAUGAACGAGAAGCACUUAUAUAUCCAACAUUGCACAAGAAUAUAGUCAUAUCAACACAUGUCAUAAAUUAGAACUAAAUUAAUAAGAACUGGUGAAGGUUUUAUACCUGAAAUAGGCUCAAAUAACGAGAAAGUUGCCUCGUCUCAAAGACAGUUACAUCUCUUAGUGCAUAAUAUAGCACAAUCAAUGCACACACACCCAUGUCCAAGUGACAUGGUCAAGGUUACUAAAUAGAGAAAUGUGCCCUGCAUCAAUAUAUACACGAGACUUAUCUGAUAAAAUGGUACAUCCUACAAGAUGUAGCAUGUAUACCCUAGCGGUUGCCUCAUACUUAGACUGAUGUAGUUGCUCCGAAUACCUAUCAUGGAGCCAAGAUAGGCAAAAAUGAGCAUCCCUGUUAAACUUAAACUUAUUUAUCACCUGCGUCCUAGUAAACCCCAUGUCUCGUAUAGCAGUAAUACAUGCAAGCUCUUGGUUAAGGAGAUGAUUAGUGAGGAAACUACUUGGUAGAGGGAGAUGGAACAGAGAUGAGUAAUAGCCUUUGUAUCCGCUUGAGCAGUCACCUUUGUAUCAGUCUGAGAAGUCACCUCCAUAUCAGCCAAGGCCUUUGUUUCAGUAUGAUGGGUCACCUCUAUCCUGACCGCCAUUUUCGUGUCAUCCUCACCUAUUGUCUGGACAUUGUCAACAAUUGUAACCUCAUGCUCAUCAUCAAGAUUUUUGUCCCCUCCAUCAGUUCUAGCUUCUCUACAUCAGAUAUUGCGAGGUGCGUGAGCUUGCUCUACCAUCUGCCUUUUGUUAGAACUGGUCAAAGCUACUCUUCCCGUUCGGAUAUACGAAUACACGACGUCAUUAGACCUCGCACGAGCCCUCGUUGCAACUCUAUCAUGCUGCCUAGAAGCAAUAGUCUCGUCUAAUCCUCUGGUCCUCACUGCAAAAAACACAUAAAUAUUAACUACCCGAUUUUUAAAAAACCCCAAAAUCAACAUGGAUUUUUUAGACUUUUUGAAAACUUCGGUCACCAACUCAAGAUUUGUUUCUAGCGGUAUUGUUUAAAAAAAGAUUUGGUAUGCAUGGAUACAAUUUUACCGAAUUUUUCAAAAUAAAAGUUAAAAAUGCAUGCUUUUUUUGGCAUUUUCAAAAUAUCCGAUAAAAAUGCAUGAGAAACAUGAGUUUUUACCAAUCAUUACAAAAAUUCUUAUAAAAUGCCUAAGAAAUUUGAGUUUUUAUCACACAUUUCAAAAAGCCUGAUAAGAAUGCAUGUUUUUACGAAAAGAUCGAUAAAAAACUUAAAAUGUCGGAAAAAUUGUAUAUUUGUAAAAUUCGGUAGUUGACUAAAAAAAUCCGAUAAGAAUGAGAGCUUUUGAAAAAAUUUGAAAUGUUGCAAAUGAAUAGUGAAAUAAUUUUUAAUAUGCAUGAGUAAUAUAGUAAAAACACAACAUUUUAGGGGAUGUCAGAUAUGAGUGGGGGUUGGCAACACAAUUCAUCUUUCGUUUAUUUACUCAUCAACAUCUAAAACCUUACAAAGUCAGAAGAACCUACCCAGCGCCCCAAAAUUAUACCCGACACUUCACGUAUUUUAAUAAUGUAAAAAAAUAUUUCUCUCAAUUUUUACCUUUUUUAAUUUUUUACAAAAAUUUUACUCAAAAAUAAAUUCAGAACCUAUACUAAAAAUCUACCGUGUUUUUACCAAUUUUUUAAAUAUUGCAUUAAAAAUGCAUAAAAAUGAUACCGAUCUUUUACAAAUUUGAUAAAAAUACUUAAUAUAUAUAUAUAUAUAUAUAUAUAUAAAUAUAUUCUAUAUAUUAAUAUAUUAAUAUAUUAUAUAUAUAUAUAUAUAAUAAUUAUAAUAAUAUAAAUCAUAUAUAAGAUAUAAGAUCAUAGAUAAGGAUAUCAAAAGCUUAUGUCAAACUUAAUAAUGUCACCUCCAAUAUCUUUAACUGCAGUAUUCAUAAGAUCAAAAAAUCAUCGUUGAUUAGAAAAUAUAUCAAUCUAUCAUUGUCUUAAAAUUUAAUAUCAUAAAAAAACAUUGAAAUGUAAGAAGAUACAUAAAAUGAACGUUCUUAAAAACUCACGAAAACCGUUAGUGUGCUACAUUGCUCUUAUUACACAUUCAAAAAUUUUUGUUGAACCUAAAUUUAUCUAUAUAAUAAUAGUUUUCAACCAACGGUGGUAUUUUGUUAAUAUGGACAACAGGGUGAAGAAUUAAUCGAAUCACUCCCCCAUGUUUUUUAUUUUUAGAAAAAAAUUCCCCCUUUUUCUUCUCCCCCCACCAAUAACCAAAAAAAAACAAAACCAACCCCCCGGGGGAGGAAGGAGGAAAAGAGAAUGAAGAUUAAUAACAUGAUAUUUUCGAUAAUUCUUCACCGUGUCCAUAUAACAAAAUACACCGUUGGAUUGAAAAACUAUUAUUAUAUAGAUAAUUUUAGGUCAACAAAAAAAUAAUUGAUAUGUUAAAGAGAAUGAUAGCAACUAACGGUUUCGUGAAGUUCUAAGACGUUCAUUUUUAUGUAUCUUCUUAACAUUCAAAUGAUUUUUAUUGAUAUUAAAUUAUAGACAUGAUAGAUUAAUGAAAUAAUUCAAUCCAACGAUGAAGUUUUUAGUUAUGAAUAUCAAAAGAGUUAUCGAGUGUUACAUUAUUAGUUUGACAUUUUAAUGCCUUUGAUUCCUGAUUCAUAUAUAUAUAUAUUAUAUAUAUAUAUAUAUAAAUAAAUAAUAAUAUAUAAUAUUAAUAUAAAUAUUAAAUAUAUAUAUAUAUAUAUAAUAUAUAUAAUAUAUAUAUAUUAAGUAUUUUAUCAAAUUUAAAGAUCGGUAUCAUUUUUAUGCAUUUUUAAUGCAAUAUUUAAAAAUUGUAAAACACGGUAGAUUUUAGUAUAGAGUUCUGAAUUUAUUUUUGAGUAAAAUUUUGUAAAAAAAUAAAAAAGUAAAAAUGAGAGAAAAUAUUUUUUACAUAUAAAAUACGUGAGUGUCGGGUAUAUUUGGGCGCUGGUAGGUUCUUCUGACUUUGUAAGGUUUUAGAUGUUGAUAGAGUAAAUAAAACGAAGAUGAUUGUGUUGCCACCCCCAUCAUAUCUUGACAUCCCCUAAAAUGUUGUGUUUUUACUAUAUUACUCAUCAGCAUAUUAAAAAUUAUUUCACUAUUCAUUUGCAACAUUUCAAAUUUUUUCAAAAGCUCUCAUUCUUAUCGGAUUUUUUUAGUCAACUACCGAAUUUUACAAAUAACAAUUUUUCCGACAUUUAAUAAUUUUAUCGAUCUUUCGUAAAAACAUGCAUUCUUAUCAGGCUUUUUGAAAUGUGUGAUAAAACUACUCAAAUUUCUUUAGGCAUUUUAAAGAAUUUUUGUAAUGAUUGUAAAACUCAUGUUCUCAUGCAUUUUUAUCGCGAUAUAUUUGAAAAUGCCAAAAAAAGCAUGCAUUUUUAACUUAUUAUUUGAAAAAUUCGGUAAAAUUGUAUCCAUGCAUACCAAAUCUUUUUUUAAACAAUACGCUAGAAACAAAUCUUGAGUUGGUGACGAAGUUUUCAAAAAGUCUAAAAAAUCCAUGUUGAUUUGGGGUUUUUUUAAAACGGGUAGUUAAUAUUUAUGUUUUUGUGCAGUGAGACCAGAGGAUUAGACGAGACAAUGCUUCAGGCAGCAUGAUAGAGUUUGCAACGAGGGCUCGUGAGAGAGUCUAAUGACGUCGUGUAUUCGUAUAUCCGAACGGGAAGAGUAGCUUUGACCAGUUCUAACAAAAGGCAGAUGGUAGAGCAAGCUCACGCACCUCGCAAUAUCUGAUGUAGAGAAGCUAGAACUGAUGGGAGGGACAAAAAUCUUGAUGAUGAGCUGAGGUUACAAUUGUUGACAUGUCCAGACAAUAUAGGUAUGACAGAACGAAAAUGGCGGUCAGGAUAGAGUGACCAUCAUACUGAAACAAAGGCCUUGGCUGAUAUGGAGGUGACUUCUUCAGACUGAUAACAAAGGUGACUGCUCAAGCGGAUACAAGGCUAUUUACUCAUCUCUGUUCCAUCUCCCUCUACAAGUAGUUUCCCCUCAAAUCAUCUCCUUUAACCAAGAGCUUGCAUGUAUUACUGCUAUACGAGACAUGGGGUUACUAGGACGCCAGGUGAAAAUAAGUUUAAGUUUAACAGGGAUGCUCAUUUUUGCCUAUCUUGGCUCAUAGAUAGGUAUUUCGGAGUCAACUACAUCAUCUAAGUAUGAGGCAACCGCUAGAAUACAUAGCUAAAUCUUGUAGGAUGUACCAUUUUUAUCAGAUAAGUCUCGUGUAUAUAAUUGAUGCAGGCACAUUUCUUAAUUAGUAACCUUGACCAUGUCACUUGGACAUGGUUGUGUGUGCAUUGAUUGUGCUAUAUUAUGCACUAAGAGAUGUAACUGUCUUUGAGACGAGAGAACUUUCUCGUUUAUUGAGCCUAUUCAGGUUAAAACCUUCACCAGUUCUUAUUAAUUUAGUUCUAAUUUAUGACAUGUGUUUGAUAUGACUAUAUUUCUUGUGCAAUGUUGGAUAUAUAAGUGCUUCUCGUUCAUUUGUGACAGAUGGGUUACUCUCUUACCACUGCUGGAUCCACACCGGCCAAGAGAUGGAAUGCCAUACAUGGACACCCAGGAGGUUUUCUGGAGUACAUGAAAAAGAUUUACGUGCUUACUAUAGACGAUAUCAUCUAGACACCAAUACACGAGCCACAUAAAGUACAUCGGAAGUUUGAUGAGACUUCCCUUUCUUUUACUCUACGAUAUGAGACCUUAGUUGAUAUACACUUACGUGAGAGAUGUUUGCACUAGUUGGGUAUGUCAAGGACGUCCCACGACCAGUCCAUGUUGUGCGAGCUAAGGGCAUUGAUUGAUGGUUUAUAGGUAACAUUUGGCAGCUCACCCAUGCCUAUUCAAAUCAUGUAAUAGAGGCAUAGUUCCUGGCAGUGUGUGGAUUGUUACUUAGAGUGGUACCUACUUACGUACCACACGCAUCAUCCCAUAAGUUAAGCAUGCAGAUGAUGUUGGACCUCUUAUGCUAUGGGGCCUUCUAAUGGCGUGUAAUCGCCUCCACCCCUCCACCAGAUGUGGCUGACUAGUAGAGUUUGUAGAUGACAGCAGUCACUUUGGAUAACAUCAUGUGUUUGAUAAACCCAGUGGUGAGAUUUAUGCUUUGGCAUCACAGACAUCAACAUAGCCUGUGGGAGACUAAUGUAGAUUUUUAUUAUUUUGUAUUAUUGUAUUAUUACUCAGACGUUUGAACUGUAAAAUUUAUUAGAUAACACUUUAUCAUUGCGGGAUUAACAUAACUUAACACUUGACAAUUAACAAACUUAACACAUGAAAAUAACAUAACUUAACACAUGCAAUUAAAUAUACUUAAUAAAACAAUAAUAAAUAAUAAAUUCUUAGACACUACUAGAUGAUCAGGAUAUUCAACAUCUUGAUUAUAUCGUUCACAUAUCUAGAAAUGUCGCAUCAAACUCAAUUGGUCCCUUUUUGUUUGCCUACAGUGAUUAUUCCCAUAUAACCUUAAAGUCUUCACCAGUCUUCAGCUCAAUGUUGUGUAUUUUAACAUUUCAUUCAAUAUCAAUUCAUGGUGCACAAAAUCUACUUAACCACAUUUUGUUAUCGGUGUGGGGUAAACAGAUUAUCCAAUAAGGAUCUCAUCAGUGAUACUGUGGUGUCCUCAGGCACUCAAAAUCAACAAGAGGUUUCACACUGUUGAAGAACACAACUGCCAUAAACAAAUAUUAAGACAUUCUGAAUAUUUUUUAACAACAUAUGAUCUCUAUAUAAACAUACUUUGAAUUUAUUAUGGACCAAUCACAAUUGUCGAUGCAAUCACAACUUUACAAAACUAUAGGCAAAUUCUCAACCAUUAAAGUUUAACCUACCCGACUUUGUAGCCAUCUAAAAUCUGACAUGCAUGAGCUUUAUAAAAACCACGUGAAACAAUAUUCAUAGUAUAUAUACAUUUCUUAAUAAAACAUUGGUCUCUUAUUUUGAUAACAAGUCUGUCAUGAACCUUAAUAUUAAUUUAACCUAUUCGAUUAGAUUUUAACUUAAUUUUAAUUUAAAAAAAUCCUAAGUUUUAAUUUAGUCCCCAUUUAUAAAAAUUAGCUUUUUGUUCCCUAACUUACUUCCCUUGAGAUUCCAUGGUGCCCCUCCACUUUUGAACACUUAGCAUGCUAAUUGAUGACAUGGCAUGCCACUGUGGAUCCAUGAUUUUUUUUUGAUUUAAUAGACUAUUACUUAUAUUUUAUUUUACAAAAUAUUUUUAAUUUAUGUAAAUCAUUUUAUUUUAAUUUAAAACAAUAUAAAGUCAACAUGUUGUAAACUAGAUGACAUAAUUUUUUUGAACCCUAAUUCCUUUUGCUUUCUCUCUCUAAGAAGAACACAAACUUAACUCCUUUUUGAACACCGAUUCAAACAUCAAACUAAAGCUCAUAGUGUCAACAUUUGUACCCAGGGUUCUGCGAAUAUGACUAGUGGACAGGUGAAAUUUUGUUAAGGUAUGUUUUCUUGUCCCCUUUUGAGUGUUACCAUGUCCCAUUAUUUUUUUUUUGCUGUUGUAUGUUUAUUUGUGGUCCACUAUCCAUUUCAUUUCAUGUGAACUUGGUUGUGGUUCCAUAGUUGUUUUCUUGUUUACGUGUAUUAUUCUAAUGUUGUGGUCCACCAUGUUUGUUUAAUGUUUUGUUGUAGUCCCACUGAAUGUUAACUUAUUCCAUAUGUAUUCAAUUAAUUUUCAGGUCAAGUCAACUAAUAAAGUUUAGGUUAAGAAAUACACCACAAGGGGGAGGUUAGUUUCUAAACCUAUUAAGUGGUAUGUUGGUGGAGAGUGUAACUGAGAUGAAUUGGCAGUGAGGUUUUGGAUGUCAUGUCAUACACAUGGAUGUGGAGGAGAAUUAUGAUAGAAAGUGAGUAGUUAUGUAGACUAAGUGUUUGUGGUAUUGGAAACCGUGUCUUCGGCUUUUCACAUGGUCUUAGGCCAUGAAUAAUGAUAAGGAUGUGUUGCAGUUUUCCAAAGAUGUUGUAAGACACGAGGUGAUAGAUGUAUAUGUGGAGUACAAAGUAUCGACCCUCUUGUGAUUGUUGGUGACAGUUCGUCAUUGCAUACAUUUAGUCGAAGAAUCAGAGCAAAACAAGUGAAAGUCGAACGAAUUUGAGUAAAAAUGACCAAAGAAUGAAGAAAAAUAGCUAAGUAUCAAAUUGUGGACUUAGUAAAAAUUGAGUGAAAAUUGAGAACAAAAUAAGAGUAAGCUUCGGAAAUUAUCACAUCCACCUUCGCGCAGCAUCGCGCACACGAUAGGGCAUUAAAAAGCUGAAUCGUGCGUGCGUAUGCAGGGUAUCUUGCACGCGGUGGUUACUUUUCCGGGCCUUUUUCUGACGCGUUCUGGUCCAUUUCUGAUGCCUUCAAAGAGGUUUUUCUAGCACAAUUAUAAGAGUUGCACUUUUGGGAGAUUGAAGCACGAAUUAGAGAGCACAACUGGUGAUUUUUUUAGCUUUGAAGCAUUGGAGGACAUCUUUUUAAAGGGACUUCUUAUGUUAUCAUUGUUUAUCAAUUGUGUAUUUUUAAUUACAAUAUGAAUAACUAAAUUCUCUAGGUUAGGUUGUGUUAUGAUGAACGUGGUUUCUCAAUUGUUGGAUUCUAUGUUGAUUGACACACUGUAUGACACUAUUGAUCUAUUAAUUUUAUUCAAUUGCUUCUAUUCAUAAUGUUUUUUUAUGUGAGAUGAUCUUUAUUUAAUUUUGGACACAUAGUAAAUAAUUGUCAUUAGUCUAUGAGUUGGACCUAGGAAAUUGAUGUACUUACGUUGGUUGAAUAGACAUAGGAGACCCAUAGUAGUGGCAUAGAGAUUAACGUUCUAUACAUCGCCUAACACCCUUACGUCGGCGGACUAGGAAUAGAAAGCUCUAGGUAGUGGUUACGUGAGUUAUUUCGUGAGGGAUCGACAAUAAUGAAUUUGUUAAUUCGCCGUGAAGGUUAUAUAAAUAAUUCAUAAAUGCAUCGGACAUCAACAGAGAGGAAUAAGGAUUCUACAACAACAACAUGAUCACUUUUGUGAUGUUGUUUGCUCGUUAUUUACUUUCCCACUUGAAACCUGAAAAACCCCAAAUUUUACUAGUUUUUUUCCAAAUUUCACAUAUUUUAUCUGCUUGUGAGCAGUCCCCGUGGAUUCAAUAUUUUUAUUACUUUGACAGUAUCGGUUAUACUUGCUGAGAAAGUCUAUCAAUUAUGGAUCCAAGUGAAUUAGUAUAACUACAUUAAUGAGAUGAUGUACAAUGUAUUGGUUUUAGUAAGCCCUGAUGUUGAAGUGAAUGGCCCUAAUAUUGAUUUGAGUGAUGAAAGAAGUUGAAGGAGUGAGGGCAAUGCUGAAGUUAAUAAUGAAACAAACUGAAGUUGUAAUUAGGCAACAUUGAAGUAGUGAGGGUAAUGUUGAAGUUAUAAUGACACGUGAAGUGUAAUUAAAGCCUAAUGUUGAUUCAAUAUGAAAAAGUUGAAUUGAAUGAUGAUGAUUAUGUUGAAGUGAGUAUAGAAUAUAGUAAGAUAUUGAAGUUAAUGGGCCAGUGAAGAUCUAUAGGAGAUGGGUUAGACCAAAGUACUACCCUGAAACUUUAGGUAAGGCUAGUAGUUCAUUUCAAAAUCAAGUUAAGCUAUGGUGGUUUUAUGUAAAUCAAUAAGUUAUGGUAUCAAUGUUACAAGUUGAUACACAAUAUUGUAAUUUUAUUUUAUUAUCAAUCAAGUUUCACAGUUUUGUAUCUUUCAAAGUAGAACGGUUACAACACAUAACCUAAACAUGUUGGAUAUUUUAAAGGAUGGAAGACAACUUGGUAAGAAAACAAAAAUGGAGAAUUGAAAAUGGAAAACAAAAUCCGUGUUUGAUUUCAAGUUGGAAGCACGAAGACGGCUAGGGUUCACGACUGCAAAUUUGUGUUUUUGGGUUUCCAUUAAUAAAUACCAUAAUAACAAUUUAAUUAAAAAUCAUUAUUUAAUUUGGAAUUGUUUUUCUAUACUAAAAUUAAAUAAUGUGAAAUAAAUAUUUAUUAAAUAUGACAUGGAGGUAAAUAUAUGUGUCAAGUCAUUAAAUAAGACCGUCAAAUGGAGGAGAAUUAUGAAAUCUCAAGAAAAGUAAAUUUAGAAACUAAAAUUCUUAUUUAAAAUGGGAAACUAAAUUUUAAAAACUUUAAAAUAAAAGGAUAAAAGUGUAUUUAAGCCAAUAAAAAAAUUAAAUAGAUGUUUUCAAGGAGUGACAAUACAUAUUCCUUAGAAUAAUACACUUUAAACACGGCCCAUGAAGUUUUGUGAGUCCAUUAAUACUCAUCAAGUCUCAAUGAUUUUUUAUUUUUAAAAAUGAAACUUUAACUUAAUAACCUAUAUUUAUCCAUAGUACUCCCUACAUUUUAUAAAAAAAAUAUCAUUAUUCUUAUAUAUUUUUAAUUAAUUAAUUAUUUUAUUUAAAUAUUUUUUAAUUUAUUUUUUGUGUAACGAAAGAGUUUGCAAAAAGAAUUCUGAUAAUAUUUUUUAAAUUUUUUUUUUUUUUUGUGUGUACCGGAAGACUUUGCAAAAGAGUUCCACAUACAAAAAUUGACUACUGAAACUCUCUUGUUAAAUCUUCGAUAUAUAAAAAAAUGCUUGAAAAAUGCACGACAAGUUCUUUUGCAAAGUCUUCUGAUACACAAAAAAUAACUAUCGGAACUCUUUGCAAAGUCUUCGAUAUACAAAAAAUAUUUAAAAUAAACAAAAAAUGACUACCGAAACUCUUUUGCAAAUUCUUUCCGUUCACAAAAAUUAACAACAGACUCUUUUGCAAAGUAUUCAGAUAAUACACAAAAUUUAAAAAAUACUUGAAAAAAUGACUACCCGAACUCAUUUGCAAAGUUGUUCUGAUACACAAAAAUUGACUAUUGAAACUCUUUUGCAAAGUCUUCCAUAAUAUAAAAAAUAUUAAAAAAAUACUUGAAAUGAUUAAUAUGAACUCUUUUAUAAAAAUCUUCUGAUACACAAAAAUAAAAUUUAAAAAUAUAUUUUUUAAAAAAAAUAAUAAAUUAAUAUAAAAAUUAUAUAAGAAUAAAAUAAGUAUUUUUUUUAAAAUUAAGGUAACGGUAGCAUAUGAGAGUAAAACUUAUUCUAUUAAAAAAAUUAGUUCUUCAAAAUGUCCUAUUUUUGGUUUUUAGGACACAUCCAAACCAAAAUUGGCAUGAUUAUAAUAAGUUUUUUUUUAUGGUUAGUAAAGAUUUAAAAUAAUUAAAAAAACAAAUUUACAUAUAUAAAUUUAAUUACAUACAUAAAAUACAAAUAUAUUAAUAUUAAGGAUGUCCUCAACCCCACCUAGACAAAUUUCUAACACGAGUUUGGCAGCCUAUUUACUUAUUCUAAUUGACAUAAGAUAAUUAAAAAUUGCAUAUAAUAAAUUAAAAUAAGUGGUCGACAAAAAUCUUCCACAAACGAGUAUAUGUUCUGGUUGUAAUCGACAUAGAUAUGCAAAAGCUUAUAAAAAAGAUAAAAUAAAUUAAAAAGUUUGAAAUCUUGAACAGUAAUUAAUUAUCGUUCUUGUUAUUAACAAAUAAUAAUCUUUAAUCUGGAUAUUAUAUAACACAAUUUUCCAGUAGUUGAUUAUUCUUUUUCUCCCAUUCAUUUAUAGAGGAACUAUGAUUUUGUUUUGCGUGUCUUAUCAACAUUCUUAAAAUCUCCCAUCUCUUUUUUUUCUCAUUCCUUGCGGAAUUUAUUUUUGAUUUACGCAUACUUUUUAUUCGAAAUUUCAAUUUGGAGAUUGAAUAAUAUUUUAAAUAUUACAACUAUUUCAUUUCCGCAAUACAAUACUGUUAAAGAAAUAAACUAAAGGGUGUUAUUAUAAUUUCUAUGUAUUUUAACUCUCCAUCUAGAAAAUUUGAAUCCUUCAGCCCAAAAUCACUUUUUCAUGUUGCAUUCUCCUUUCUCCACUCUGAACCAGAAACCUCUGCAUAACCGAAAACUCAACAAUGUCACGAAACUCCCAAGAUUGUAAUUUCCCCUAACUUUAUUCAAUUCGCCUUCAUCCAAACCGAACCAGUCUCGCCCACCCAACAAAAAUCUUCGACGCAUUAGGGCAGGAUGAGCUUUUCAAAUCCUCAACAGCAUCCCGAACGAUAUGCACGACUUCACCGUCCUAUGGUAGACCCAAAGGGCCUAGACCGUUACGAGUGCUCCAGCGCCGAGUCGGACCUAUGGUCCAUUGGGUUCGACCGCGUCCGCCUCGCCCGCUGCAGAUUUAACCGACCGUCCUGCGAGAAGAGAGAGCUUUUGAUAUAAAGCUCUUGAAAGUUAUGAUGCUGCUGCCGAAGAUUAAGAUAUAUUAAGGAGGUUAGGUCUUUUACUGAUUUGGGAUUGAAGGAACUAAGUAAUUGGUUGAGAAAUUUCUUGUGUUUUGGUAAGACGGGGAGUUAACUAAGGAAGAGGUCUAGUUCUAUUUCUGAUAAGCUUAAGGAAUUGGGUUGCUGACGGCUUGUACUUGGAGUGAUUAUUCUUUUGAUGAUCUUUGUUUUUUGUUAGUUGUAGAAUCACUUGUUCUGAGAUAUCUUGGUUUUUAUGAGAAAUGCUUGAUUUUAUUUCGUGGAAUUUGUUGUGUCUGUUAGGUGUUUUGAUGAAAUGUGCAAUAGUUGUUGCAAAGUUAUUUUUAUCAUAUAUUCUUAUGGAAAGUACUUCUUGGAUUGCGGCAAAGUGUUGAUUGUUAAUAAUAAUGGUAUGUUAUGAGUGGUUAUAAUUUCUCUUUGACAUGUCUACUAGUUAAGUCUUGGGUUGGUUGAAGAUUGGUUGAAAGUUAGUGUGUGCUUGGGUUAAGUGGUUUACAAUAUUGUGAUUAUUUAAUUUAUGGUUUAUUUUAGUUAUAUUAUUUGAUGUUGUGUUAUCGUCGCAUAAAAGUGAUUUUGAGAGUUAGGGGCUUAGUUUGGUAAAUAUUAACCACCUUGAAUAUCAAUCGCUGAGGGUUAGAGUUUGCCUUUUUUGCACGAGUGGUCAAUUAUAAAGACAUCGAAGCGAAAGCUGAUAAGGUGUCUACACAAAACUUUUUUUAAAUGAAUCAGUGUAUUCGGUUGAUGUUGGAAAUAUGGGUUAAGGAGCACUGAAUGGCCUACAAAGUUGGGUGGAAUAGUUUGGAGAAGCUUUUUGAUGAACUGGCAAUUUGAAAACGAAUAAUUGGAUCAUAGUAAUGAAUAAUCUACUGUACUAUUGAAACUUACGUGUUACUUUUCAACUUAGAACUGAUUACAAGCUUUAGAAUAUUCCGUAUUAGUUUAGAACACUUAGCUUCGGGCAAAGUUAUCUAGGAGAAAAGAUGUGAGUAUAAUUUGUUUUCCUUCCAGUUUCCCUGAGACUGUGCUGUUGUUUAAAAUUUUAUUUUUGGAUCAAGCGAUUUGAGUAGGUAUUAAAUAUUUAUCCUAAUAUUAUAGAACAAUUAUUUCAGGUAAUUUGGGGUUAUCAUAAACUCAUAAAAUAUGACUUUUUUUGUCUAUCCCUCACCGAAGGCCUCAUAUUUAAACUAUAAUUUCCUGUUAGAUUUAAGACAGGUUCAUUUUUAAGAGAUUUAGCUUCAAUUGUUGCUCAGUCUCUGGACUCUAAGCUAUCAUAUCUUUAGAAAGUCCCUAUCUCCCUCCAACCCAAGUUUAGGGUGCUAUAUUUGCAGGUAAGUACCACUACUUUCUUAUUUUUCUGCGUUUGUUUUCACGCACCAACCUACAAGUUGACAUAGUUUUUGUUUCUUGUGUAGUGUACUGUCAUUUUUUUGUUUCAAUAAAAGCUUUUACUAUUUUACUAUUAGAACACCUUGUAAUCUUUAGAUUAUAUCAUAAAUGAUAGUGGACUAUAUUACCGCAUAUAUGUACCCGAAUUUCAAUUAAGUUUGUUUAUCAUUCUGUUAAAUUAUUGAUGUGAAAAGUACUUUAUUGAUAUCUUCAUCUUGGGGUAUAGUAAGACUAUGUAAAAUUAUACAACUCUCUGACUUAGCAACUGAAUGCCUGCAAGAAGCAAUUAUAUUAUAAAUGUAGAAACUCUAAAAGAAUAUAGAGAGGCUUUAAUUUGAACAAAAGCUUCAACACAAUAUCUAACAGUUAGAGGGUCUUUUAAUCGAAGGGAUAAAGAACAAGUAGUGAAAAGAAAACAUAGCAUGAGGAGAGGAAGAUAACAGUUCUGAAAAGUGACACUGUAAUCUAGCUUGAUUUUGUUCAUCUUGUUAUUUGUAUAAGUUUUGAGAAAAGUAAACUUCCCCUCAACUAUGUUAACACUUCUCACAUGUAUAUAGGAAUUUAUUUUUAAUAACUAUACUUUGUAGAAAGACAUUUCAUAUAUUAAGCAUUUUGAUAAAUGCCUCUGAGUACAUGAAUUAACUGUGNUAUAUAUAUAUAUAUAUAUAUAUAUAUAUAUAUAUAUAUAUAUGAAUCAGGAUCAAAAGGCAUUAAAAUGUCAAACUUAAUAAUGUAACACCUCCGAUAACUCUUUACUGCAUAUUCAUAUAACAAAAUUCAUCGUUGGAUUGAAAAUUAUUAUCAUAUCUAUCAUGUCUAUAAAAUUUAAUAUCAAUAAAAAAUCAUUUGAAAUGUUAAGAAGAUACAUAAAAAUGAACGUCUUAGAAAACUUCACGAAAACCGUUAGUUGCUAUCAUUCUCUUUAACAUAUCAAAUUAUUUUUUGUUGACCUAAAAUUUAUCUAUAUAAUAAUAGUUUUCAAUCCAACGGUGUAUUUUGUUAUAUGGACACAGGGUGAAGAAUUAUCGAAAAUAUCAUGUUAUUAAGUUUGACAUAUUCUUGUAGAAAUAUUUUUAUGGUCUAUGACAAAUUUCUCCGGUAAAAAUCAAAUAAUUAAAAAAUUAUUAACAAAAUGUCUAAUAUUAGAAUUUUAAAAAAAAUUUAAUAUAUAUUUAUAUCGAAUAUUUAAAAAAUGUUAUAAAAAAUUGCAUAAAAUUAAGUUAUGAUUUUUAAAAAAUUCAGUAAAAAUGCCUAAAAUGCAUAUAUACGUAAUGGAUUUCCUGCGGAAAGUUUUCUACAAUCCACAAUAAAUCUCACUGAUAAAAAUCAAUUAAAAAAUUAUAAAAAGAGUCUAAUAUCAUAUAUAUUUUUUUUAAAGAAUCUAAUGAAACUCCUACAGAUAUUACCAAAUAUUUGAAAAAAAGAAAUAAUAAUUAAUAUAAUAUUAUAAAAUGCUAACUAUUUUUGAAUUUAUAUGUUAAAAAGACAAUUAUUUUAAAAUGGAUCCUUUUUAGUGUUCAAUUUUUUAAUUAAUUAAUGUUAAGAAGAAAUUAUGAAGCAAUUACUCUUUGAUAGAUUUCUUUUUCUGAAAGAUAUGUGGCAUGCUUCUUCUCUUAAGAAAAAGAAAAACCUAACCUGAUAAUCUUCAAAGAUAUUUAAUUAUCAUUUAGAGUGUUUUCUAUGUUUGGGCAAUGAUACUUUUGAUAACAUUCUCAUUAUAUGGUUUGUCAUGAAUAAUAUUUUCUUAUUAGAGUGUCAGCAUUGUCACUCAUCAAAUUUUAGUUAUGUCCCUCCAUUUGUUGUUGUUCUUUUUUAGAAUUCAAUUCACUUUCCUCUCCAGCUAAUGACAUUCUUUCACUAUCCUCCAUUAGGCUAGACUUAAAAAGGAACCUCCAUUUUUUACGGUACUCCCUUUAAUAUAUUAAAAAAGUUUCUUAGAAAAAAAUAAAUAAUAGAGUAGACAAAAAAAAUUCCUACUAUUAAGGAGGGUAACUAGUAUCAAUGAAUAGGAGAAGAGGUUAUUCUUGAAAGAGAAAGAUGGUUUGCACUUAGUGCGCGCUCUUUCUUAAAUGUAUCUUUUUUUGAAUUUUUUUUUUAAAUAUUCAGAAAUUUUAAAAAAUUUCAAAAUUAACCAUUUUUUCAAAAAUAUUACACAAAUGGUCAUUUUUGGCCAAAAUUACUACAUAGGCGCCACCCUAGUUGGCGCCUACCCUUAAUGGGUAGGGCAAGUCGCCACUAGGAGUGGCGCUACACCCAUUCCAUAUUUUUUUUUUAUUUUUUUUUUUAUAUGUUAUAUUUUUUUUAAUUUUUUUUUAAUUUAUAAAUUUAUAUUUUUUAUUAAUUAUAUUUUUAUAUUAACACAUAUAUAUAAAUAAAAUUAUUUACAAGAUAAUAUAAAUAUAUAUAUAUAUAUAUAUGUAAUUAAUUUAUAUAUAUAUAUAUAUAAAUUAAUUAUAAGUAAUUAAAUAUUAUUUGUAAAUUUUUGGAAAAAAAUUAAUUUACUAUACGUGUAAAUAAAUAUUUAUACACAUUAAAUUAUAUAUAUAUUAUAUAUAAUAGUAUAUAUAUAUAUAUAUAUAUAUAAAAUGAUGAUAGACAAUAUCUUAAGAUAAAAGAUAAAGUAUAAAAGAAAUAAAACGAAAAAUUUUUAUUAUAAUAAUAGACAAGACAAAUAUUACAAAGAUAUGAUAACACAUAUAGAAUGCGGUCCCUGGUACGAUCCGCACGGGGAGGUCUAAUUACUCGCCUAGACGGUUCACGUGGUGGUGGUGCUCCCUAAUUACCACCCCUUGCCCUAACGCGCCCCUUUGCCGUUUGCCGGUGGUGGGUCGAAGUCCCUUCAGUGCUGUAAGAAGAGCGGCACCACGUUGCCACUCUCUAAAGCAUUGUUCUCGGUGGGACAAACUGACACUGCGGGUGCGCCCUCGAAUUUGUGGUCUUUGGUAGUUUAGGUUGAAUCGGUUGGCCAAAGUACAAUGUUUGUUGUGGUGUGAGUAGUCCUGUGGUAAUUGCCUCUUGUACCCGUGUCGGGCUAGGUGGAGGACUGGAAGAGCUCGGGACAUUGUCGUGAUGGAAGUGUUGGAUUGGUGGAAGUGGGGGAUUGAUAUGUGGUAGGUGUGGGACUUUUGAUGGGGGAUGUGGGUAAGUGAGUUUGUGGUUGUUGGUAUGAUUAGGUUUGCGGUGUCAUUGUGGUAUGGUAGGUAUUGUGGGUGAUGAUGGAGUGGUUGGGUGGGUGGACAUGUGUGUGGGGUUGUUGUGUAAUAUGGUGGUGGUGGUUGUUGUUGGUUAAAGGUGGUGUGGUUGUGUUGGUAAAUGUGGUGGUGGUUGUUGUUGUAGUGGUGGUUGUUGUUGUUGGAUACUGGUGUGGUUGUUGUUGUUGGAAUAUAGGCUGUGCAUCCGGGAUCGUCCAAAUAGAACGGGUCAGACACAAAUCAUUUCUGGAUUUGUAUUGCUCUAUACCAACCACAAUAUUCCCUUGUCGGCUUCAUUCGUUGGGGGGCGCCACCGAAAUUGUAGACAUAGUGGGCACGGUCUUCCACAUUUUACGAAACUCCUUAGCAAAUUCCUUCCAUUAUUUGGGCAUACCACUGGUGGCUGACUUUUUUAGAUGCCAAGGUUCCAUAGACCAUUGGGGCCUGGGAUUCUAGAUGCAUUCCGAAUUGAAGCUUGACACGUCAGCUUAGGGGGUGUGCAUCUCCACAGUGGUGAACCGCAUAGGCCCGUUUUUGCUGUCCAAACAGCUGCAUCUUCGGGUUGGGUUGAUGUCCAAUCCAAAUAUGAUACUCUGGUUACGAAUACAUAGUUUGUACCAUGUGUGGAACAACCUCAACCAACUCAGAAUAUUCAAUCACAGGUUAUGAUCUGUGAUUGAUGACGAACAAGAUGUUGAGCACCACGUUAAGACGAUGUGGUUGAUGAUGUGAAGACGUGGUUGAUGACUUGAUGACCGUCAUUCUGAAGACGAAGACCAAGUUCAAAUACCUAUAGGCGCAACGCUACUCACCGCCUGCGCACUUCACAACACUUAACUUGGGCGAGGAUCAGCCCUCAUCAGAUAGUUCUACAAACCCAUAUAUGAGGUCUGAUGAGGACUUAAAAAAGGUGACCAAUUCGGACCAAGGAAGAGUGUCUGUUAGCAAAAAGAACUGCACUUGAAAAACUGUGUUGACUACGAUGUUAUCAAAUCCAAUCCGGAAAGAUACGUUAUUGUAUGCAAAAUCCGGAGUGUGGUAUAGGUUGAUGGCAUCGACAAGAAGAAACAUAAUGCAGUGGGUGAUAGGGUCCAUAUCUCAAGCUCACAUUUGCGUCAACACCAACAUGCACAGGAUCAUCGCAAACUUAGCCAUGAUAUGAUCUGCCAUUCCAUAUUACCUCUAAGUUGAGGCGACCCGUCACUGAAGGUCAAAACAAUUAUCUCCCAUUGUGUGGCUGUUUCAAAUAUACACGUCAUACAGAAAGGUUGGUUAGCGAAACAAAGCAAUUGAACUGGUAUACGGUAACUGGGAGGAAUCAUACAAACAACUACCACGCUACCUGCUGCACUACGAUUGUAUUCACCUGGGACGGUUUCUAUAAUGGGAACCGUUGCCGGCACAAUCCCCUGACGGAACUCGUCAGAAGGUAAUGGAAUUUCCAUAGACUUUUUGGGCAUUCCGUCCGUGCAUCAUCGUUUUCAACAUCUGCAACCACUUGUUCAAGUCGAUGGAACUUGGCUUGAUGGGAAAUACAAGGAUCGUUACUGAUGGCGGUCGCACAAGAUGGCAAUCUAAUAUUUUCCCAAUAGCCUUUGCAAUUGGUUGAAGGAGAAACGGCUGGCUGCUUGAGUUCUUCCUUAAGAAUCUCCGAACGCACGUGACUCCACAAGCUGGCAUCUGUGUGAUUUCUGACAGGCACGCUUCAAUAGACAGGCAUACAAUAAUCCAGCAAUGGUUGCAUGACCCCCGUCUACCCAUGUUUACUGCAUCAGGCUAUUGCUCAAAAUUUUAUGCGGGAGUUCAAGGAUAAACUUCUUGAAGCAACAUUUGAUAAACGCGGGGUAUGCAUUAAACCAACCUGGAUUCCAAUACUACCCGCCGGGGAAAUAGUGUUGGCAAAUUCUGAUGCAGGGAGGUGGAUUGAUAAUAUCGACAAGAGAAGUGGACUAGACAUACGACGAUGGGUGAGGUGGGGCCACAUGACAACAAAUCUGUGGAAAUCAAUUGAAACGGCGUCUUUUAGGCAUACGUAACCUCCGUACCGCAUUGGUGAUGCGACCCCUAUUUUCGGAUGGCAACGUUGUUCGUAACAAGAGCAGGCGCUGGCAUGAAGUGUUGCAGACGAGUCAGGUAUAUAGUGAUGCCUGCAUGAAGUUUAUGAGGCAGGAAAUCUGCCAAAGCAAGCAGCCAUCGGGUUACGGAAUUCGACCGCCAUGGCCACACUUUUAGUGUCAAGGAAACAAUUGACCACAACCAAUGGCUGCCCAGACAAGAGUAUAGGGUCCUAAUACCAGACCGUUGGUGCGACUGUGGUCAUUUCUGCCUAUCGUAGUCCUUGUUCCAUGUCAUGCAGCGUGUUCACACAGCCACUUAGAUGCAUUAUCGCUAGUGUCUCCCAUCUACAAAGUGCAACAUUGCUCAAUGUAAACGACAAUCCCUUUCCGGUGGAGCAUUGGAGGCUAUUGGCCAGAGUAUGACGGGGAAAUGGUUUGGCACAACGAACGAUGCGGCGGAAUAAAAGUGGUCGCCCAAAUAGCAGGCUGCAUUAGAACUGAAAUGGAUGGACGUCGCAGAGAAAAUGCCGAAGAAGUGAAGCAUAUGUAACAACUAGGGCAUAAUAAGAACAAAUGUCCAUAUCGUGGAUCUACUUCCACAACUUAGUUUUCAAUAUUCAUAAUCUGUGUACCAAUGCCAUUUAUCAUUAAAGUUUAACUUUUUAUUCCAAAUAGAAGAUGACACUUGAACAACAAACACAAACAUCUAACAUUACAACACCAAUUACCUGAGAAACAAAACAAACACUGGAACAAAAACAAGUACUAAAACAAGAACAAGUACUAGAACAAUAACAAAUACAACAACAACAUGACAGACAACCAUAAAAUCUAAAGAAUUACAACAGUUAAACACUAAAAUCGUCCUGAUCCAUGCAUCAUUUGGAUGCAAUCAAUGUCGCUUUCAACUUCAACAACGUAUUGUUUCUCCAGUUUCAAAUGAGAACCUUGUUUCUAAGCCUCGGAAUUCCUUCUAAUGAACUUCCACCGAGUUGGUAAUCUCCCUCUAACCAAGAAUCAAGGGACCUUUUUAGUUAGUCCAACGAACGGAUGUUCCAAAAUUUCAUCUCCAUUGGGGGUUUCAAAGGCGAAAAAAUAACAUGCCCAUCCCUUUUAAGAUUACUUGUUCAGGAUCCGGGCCCUUGAUGAUGUUCGCUGCCAUGACGACGGUCUUGGAGAUGCCAUGAACUCAACUUGAUAGAGAAAGUGAUAAGAAAUAGUGGUGAAAGAAAGGAAGAAAUAACACUUUAUUUAUAGGAAAAGAUCUGGGUUGUACACCAAUCUACUUUAAACCCAAUAGUUCGCACUUGAUUAAUUAGGGUUUCAAUUAGGUCAUAACUACAAACUCUGAUUAUAACAUCAAUAAACCCUAAUUAUAAUUGAAUAAUUAACCUUAACAUGAUUAACCCUAAUUCUCCCAACAAUUUAUAAUAAUAAUAUUUACUUAUAAUUAAAUUAAUAAUAUAUAUAAAUUUAUAUAUAUAAUAUAUAUAUAAAUAUAUAUAUAUAUAUAUAUAUAUAUAUAUAAUAUUAUAAUAUAUAUAUAUAUAUAUAUAAUAUAAUAUAUAUUAAUAUAUAUAUAUAUAAAUAAAUAUAUAUAUAUCUUAUAAUAAAUUAUUUAUAUAUUUGUGUUAAUAUAAAUUAAUAUAAUUUAUAAAAAAAAUAAAUUUAUCAAAUAUCAAUAUUUAAAAAAAAAAUUAAAAAAAAAAUAUAUAACAAUAAAAAAAAAUAAAAAAAAUGAAUGGGUUGGCGCCACUCCUAGUGGCGACUUGCCCUAACGCAUGUAAGGGUAGGCGCCAACUAGGGUGGCGCCUAUGUAGUAAUUUAGGGCAAAAUUUGCCCAUUUGUGUAAUAUUUUUGAAAAAAUGGUUAAUUUUGAAAUUUUUUUAAAAUUUCUGGAUAUUUAAAAAAAAAAUUCUCUUUUUUUAUAAAUUUUCUUAUAUUUAUCUUUUAAUUUGUAUUUUUUUUACACGUUAUCAUUACCCAUUAAAUAUAUUUAUUUUUCAUAAAAUUAAUAAUAUAUACCCUUAAUGAUGAAUAAAUAAUAGUAAAAAAAAAAUUAUCAAAUGAAUUUAAUUGAAAUAAAUUGACAGGGUAAAAGAAUUUUACAUCGUCAGUUAAUAAUAGACGUUGGAUAUUGAAACAAGUUUGACUUUUAUUUUAAAAUUCUAUAAAGUAAUACAAACAAUUGAUGGCGAUGAAUCAACAGUGUAAAACUUUUUACAUCGACAGUGUAUAGUAAUUAAUCCCUUAUCAUAUAGGAAAAAAAACAAGAGUGUUUGUUAAAUGAUUCAUUUGUUUUUCUUUUUUUAUGCUGUUAAAAAUAUACAAAUUUUUACAUUUAUUAAGAAAAUUUAAUUUUUUAUGUCUUUUUUAAAAUUUGUUUUAUGAAAAUGUGUAAAAAUAAUUUUAAUUAGUUGUUUAUAUAAAAAAUAGAGAGAAAGUACAUUAAAUAUAAUUUACGUUUAAUUUUAUAUUAAAAAUAUGCAUUUUGAGAUUAAAAUACUUAAAUAAAUUGAUGUUUUUUUUAUAUAAUUUGCAACAAAAUAAAUAUAUGUUUUUUUCCUUAUAAACCAUUAGGAAGGGAGUAAUUAAGUAAAGGGUAAUGUUAACUUGUGUCCAUACAUGCAAAUGUUAAAAAACCCAUAAAUAAAAAAUUCAUAUUAAAAAAAAUCAAUAAUAUUAUUAAUUAUAAAGUUGUAUUAAAUUCAACACAUAAUUUUCAAUAACAUAAAGUUGUAUUAAAUUCAACACAUAAUUUUUAUCUACAAAAACACAAGUAAGUAUUAUCCGUAAGUAAAAUAUGUAAUGAUAUAUUAAAAGUCACAUGCACAUAGCAAUAGUUAUAUUCAAUUUGUUUAUUGCUAUUUUAUAAGAAAGAAACAUAAAGAUAAUGAAGCAUUAAUGUUACACUGAUUGGUAAAAAGAAUUCAAGGCCCUAUGCAAUUGCUUAGCUGGCCUGCCCCUCGGCCCGAUAUUUCUUUAGCUGAAAAUUUGUGCAAAAGUGGAUCAUGUCUUUAUCAUCUUUGUAAAUUUUCAGUAAGAGAAAUGAAGUCGUUAUCUUUGCUAUAAUGGGUUGAACAUUAUAAUGAUCGACAAUGGGUGUGGAGUGUUAUUCAUGGAGACUAGUCGAUCUCACCUCUCUCUCUCUCUCAUUUGAUAAUUAGAUUAUGUCAUUGGAAUAUAAAAAUUCAUCUUUAAUAUGAAAUUUUUGAUGGCAUGAGCGGAUCUGAAAGAUAUUUGGAUAUUACUAAUUGACAUUCCUUGUCUUUGUUAUAAUAUCGCUUAUGUAAUAUCACUUAUUUGUUGAAGACAUGAUUUGAGAAUAAGGAUUGUCAUUCUUGUCACCUUGAUUUGGAAUUCUGAAAGGAUGCGUGAUUGGAUUUUCCUCUGCAUCUCAUUCUCGUUCUUAACUCUCAAUGAAGAAAGUUAUAGAACGUCAGUUCUUUUUCUGAUUCUAUGAUUAUAGAGGGAACCUAGCCAUAAAAUAUAUAAUUUCAGUCACUAUCCAUUAUGAGCCAAUGGCUAAAGCCGACUUUAAUUAAAAGGACCACUUAAAUAAUAAAGGAGCCUACUUAUGCACCCUCAUCAGAAUCAUGAUUAACCCGUUUUCACAAUUCAAAAUAAUAAUUGAUUGCAACCCAUAAAAUAUCAGAUAAAUCUAACAUUCUCCCACUUAGGUAAAAUCGAUUAUGUUGUUUUAAUUUUUAAAAAACAUAUAUUUGAAAACAACUCUCAAAUUAAUGGCUAAUUUCUUAAAAUGUGACCGGAUUUUAAGAAAAUGCAUGAUUCUAGGUGCAAUAUCUGAAUAUGACUCCGCCGGAAAAAAGCCAAACAAUAUCGAAUCAUGGCGAUUAUUAUAUUCUUCAUCGACACAUAACCUUCCAUGAUUACAAGUACUACGAACUCCGUCAACUAGUCAUCAAUGUGGAAUGUGGCAAGAGAAUAGCAUGUCAUUGUGAUUCAACAACCAAAGUGUUAUUUUCUUUGUCAGUCCUUAACAAUUUCUCUAAAAUGCAUUAAAGUCAAAGAAAUUGCAUGGUUUUACAAACCAUAAUGUCUCAUCUCCAAUGUGGCGUCGACCACCGAUACAAUGGUCCUGACAACGCCAAACUCAAAGUCAUAUCGUGACUCCAAUAUGACAUCGACCACCGGCAUAGUGGUCCCGAAGAUGUCAAACUAAAAAUUAUAAUCAUGCCUCGAACUCUAAAGUAGUGUUGACCACAGACACUAUGGUUCCAAUGACAUUGAGUCCCAAUUGACAUAUAAAUAAAUAAUGUGAAGUAAUAAUAAUAAUAUUUAUUGCAUUAUCAAUUGCUCAAAAUAAAAAAUACUUGACAACCCAACACUUAAACUGUCCAAAUAAAAUACAACGUGAUAAGAAAAUGACAUAAAGAACAAACUCCUAAUAACCAAGUACAUCAAAAGAACUCACAAUGCCCAUGUUCUCAACAUGGUUUUUGAACACAAUGGGCCUAAGUCCCUUGGUUAAGGGAUCAAGAAGCAUGAAAUCAGUACCAAUGUACUCAAUAAUAAUGUCAUUUUUCUUUACAAGAUAUCUAACUGUUAAAUACUUUAAUUCCAAAUGCUUAGAACCACUAGAAGUUUUAUUAUUCUUAGAGUAGAACUCAUAUGUAUUGUUAUCAUAGUAAAGUUUUAGUGGUCUGAAAAUGGAAUCAAUAAUAUGAAGUUCAGUUACUAAAUUUCUCAAUCAAACAACAUGAGUGGAAGUAGCAUAACAAGCAAUAAACUUUUCCUGCAUAGUAUAAGAGACGACCAAAGUUUUCAUUUUACUCUUCCAGGAUAUCACACCUCCAGCCAACAUAAAAAUGUAACAAGAAGUAGAUUUCCUAUCAUCAACACAUCCAACAAGAUCAAAAUCAGUAUACCCAACUAUUUUCAAGUUGUCACCUCUUCUAAAAACAAGCAUAUACUCUUUAGUUAUAUGCAAAUAUCUCAUCAAUUUCUUAGCAGUAAUCCAAUGAUCAUUCCUAGCAUUAGACUGGUAUCGUCCCAAGAUGCCAACUAUGCAAGUAAUGUCAUGCCUAGUGCAUACGUGAGCAUACAUUAAGCUGUCCAAUGCACUGUCAAAAGGGUUUUCCCUUAAUCUCUGUCCGCUUAAUCUCAUUUUUAGGACAUUGAUCUUUGCUGAAUUUAUCUCCUUUAGUAACUGGAACAUCCCCUAGCUUACGACUCUGCAUAUUAAACCUCUCUAAGACUCUAUCGAUAUAAGCCAUCUGGGACAAGUCAAGUAAACCAUGUGACUUAUCUAUGUGUAUUUCAAUUCCUAGCAUAAAGGAUGAUUCACCAAGAUCUUUCAUAUUAAAGAACUUAGUUAGCAUAAGUUUGGUCUCAUGAAGUAGACCAAGAUCACUACUGGGAAGCAAAAUAUCAUCAACAUACAUCACAAGAAAGAUGAAUUUGCUCCCACUGACCUUAAGAUAAAUGCACUAAUCAACUUUAUUUUCUUCAAAACCCAAUGAAGUCACCACCUAAUCAAAUUUCAAGUACCAUUGUCUGGAAGCCUGUUUCAAACCAUAAAUAGUUUUUCUUAAUUUACAAACCAAAUGCUCAUUACCACUUGUCACAAAACCCUCAGGUGGCGGUAUGUACACCUCCUUAUUAAUAUCACCAUUCAAAAAAGCAAUCUUAACAUCCAUCUGAUGCAUUUCCAAGUCAACAUGUGCUAUAAGGGCCAUAACGAUUCUAAAAGAGUUUUUAGUGGAAACAAGAUAAAAGUUUCAUUAAAAUCAACCCCCUAUUUUGUGUGAAGCCCUUAGCCAUAACUCUUGCCUUGAACCUAUCAAUUUUACCUUUUGAGUACUUCUUUGUUUUGAAUAUCCACUUGCAGCCAACAUCCUUACAGUUUCUUGGUAACUCCAUCAGUUACCAAACAACAUUAUUUACCAUGGAUUUCAUUUCAUCAUGCAUUGCAUCUGUCCACAUGCUAGAUUGAGAACAAGUAAUGGCUUCUAGAUAAUUUUAAGGAUCAAUAACAAUACCAAAUCAUCAGGGAUAAUAGGCCGAUUUUGUCUUACUGACCUUCUAACAUGAGUUUGCUCAACUGGCUUAGCCGGUUGUGCAACCUUAGCCAUAACAGGAGGAUCAAAUACAUUUUUCAAUAAGUGGUUCUACCACAUUUUCAUUUGGAGCAAAACUUACAUGAGUAGUGGAUGAUCUAGUGUUAUCAAAAUUAGGCAGCGACAAAGUAACAAUGUUAGGCAUAACAUAAUCAAUAUUAUCAGAUGGAAUGACAGACUCAGCAAUAUCAAGCUCAAGGAAUUUUUCAUGCAUGGACUCCAGAAUUUUAUUAUCUCUACUAGGACAAAAGAAUAUGUAUCCUUUAGCUCGAUUUGGAUAUCCAAUGAAAAAAUAAUGACUAGUUUUGGGGUUAAGCUUUGUCUCAAAGGAAUUAUAUAUUUUAACCUUUGCGGGGUAACCCCAAACAUCCCAUAAAAAUUCCGGUAAGUUACACCUACUCAUCACGCUUCUCAUCAUAUCCUUAAGAGUAUAGUUUUGCCUUUUGGCUACACCAUUUUGUUCAGGAGUACCAGGCAUGGUGUAUUGUAGAAUAAUUCCACAACCCUGCAAGUAUUUUGCAAAAGACCCCAUGUGUUUCCUAAUAGAAUCAUAUUUACCAUAAUACUCUCCAUCACGGUCAGAAUGCACCACAUUUGUCACCCUUUCUAGUUGCUUUUCAACUUUAGUUUUAAAGGUUUUAAACUUUUCAAGUGCUUGUGAUUUUUCCUUAAUCAAAUAAAGAUAGCCAAAUGGGGAAAAAUCAUCAAUGAAAUUGAUAAAAGAUUUAUUACCAUAGAUAAUAGGAGAAAGGGGGCCGCUAAUAUUUGUAUGAAUAAUUUCCAAAUGGUAUGAACUUCUAGUUUAACAUUUCUUAUUGGUCUUAGUAAUUUUUCCUCUAAUAUAAUCCACACAAGUCCCCAAAUCAUUGAAAUCUAAGGAAGGUAAAAUAUCAUCUCUAAUUAACCUUUCAACUCUUUAUUUAGAGAUAUGGCCUAAACGCAUGUGCCAUAACAAGAAGGAUUUUUCUCUAAUUUUAGACCUUUUAGCAAUGAAGCUCUCAACAUUCAAGGAUGAGGAAAUAUCAUCACAAUCCAAAGACAACUUAUAUAAACCAUCCAACAAGACACCAUUACCAACAACUUGAGAAUUUAACAUCAAAUUUAUUUUUCCAUCGUGAAAGGUAAACUGAAAUCCAAGUCUAUCCAAACAAGAUACUAAAAUAAAAUCCCUCCUAAAAGAAGUCACAUAAAAUGUAUCUUUCAAAACAAGUUCAAAACCAGUUCCUAGAACUAAGAAGACAUCACACACUAGCUCCACAUUGACUUCAAGAUCACUUCCUACACUGAGCUUGCUUUCCCUCAAGUUUGGUCUCUGUUAGUUUCCGAACCCCUAUAAGGGCACAACAAUAUGGGUUGUAGAACCACUACCAACCCACCAAAAAUUAUUGGGAACAUAAACUAAGUUAGACUUAAGACAGACAAAAGCUAAAUGAUUACCUCCAUAUUUGUUCUUGUUGUCUAACCAAGUUUUAAAAGCAUAGAAAUCGGUUUUCAUAUGCCCAUUUUCCUUACACCAAAAGCACAAGAGGAUUUCUUAAAAGCAACUAGCUUAGGACCUCCUAUGUUAUGUGUUGACCAUUACCUGGUUUCCUAAACUCGGGAUGUCUAUGAGAAGCACUAUGAGUUUUUUUCUUAUUUUUCCAAGAAUUCUUACCAGAAUGGGGUUUAGCAUGAAUAGUCAAAAGGGUUAAAUCACUUAUUUCCUUCUUGAGUUUCUCUUCUUCAUCUACUCACUUGAUAAAAAGGUUAUUGAUGGUCCACUUAUCACCAAAGAUAUUAUAGGGCGUUUUGAUUUGAGCGAACUCAGCAGGUAGGCAAUUUAAGGCAUGAGACACAAUGAAGUUCUCAUUCAGGUCAAUGUUAUGGGUUUUAAAUUUGGUUUGCACAUGAACCAUUUUAAGAAUGAACUCCUCAACACCCUCAUUGUUAUCAUAUUUCAUGUUUGUGAGUUGUUUCAUUAAACAUCUAGAUUCAACAUUAUCAGAUACCUGAAACCUCUCUCCAAUAGCAGUAAGAUAUUCUUUAACAUUCUCUUUCUCAAGAAAUCAACUUAUCAAAUGUUUAGAAAUGUUUCUCUUAAUAACACACAAGCUAAGUCGGUCACUCCUCUUCCACUUAGCUAAUUUUUCUUUCUCUUCAGGUGUACUCUGAUCACUGAUCACAUGUUUGGUUUCAUGCACUGCCAUGUCAAGAUCAACAAUCCCUAAUGAAAACUAAGUUUUUCUUCCAUUUUUUAAAAUUAGACCCAUUCAGGAUCUCAAUAGAAGCAGAACAAUUGUCUAUAGAGAAGGUCAUUGUUGAGACAAAACAUGAAUGCAUUAGAACAAAUAAUAAAGGUAGGAUAUAUCUUUAAUGAGCAUAAGUUAUCACGAAGAGGCCAUCAUUAUCACACAAUCCCCUUUGGAUGAAAUGCACAAACCCAGGGUAAAACUAAGACCAAAACCUCAUAUGAGUUACUCAUUAAGCAUAUAUUAUGUUCGAAAAUCUAUCUCCUUUGGGUAGAUAAAUUCUCUAAACCAAAGCACUUCCAACAACUUCAUUGACAAAUUUUAAGAAUAAGUUACUCUUUGAGCAUACAUUAGGUUUAGAAAUUUAUCUCGUUUGGAUAAAUAAAUCCCUUAGACCAAAUCAUCUUCAAUAGUUAUAUCUUUAAUUAACUACAAUCUCUACAUACAAUUGUCCUCCUUUUGAAAGUCAAUCAUAGUAAUGACCGAAAAGCAUUUCUCAACUACAAGGAGGCUUUUAUAAAUUAAAAAGAACGAUCUCUCUUUGGUGGUAAUCACACACAAUAAUUUCUAGAAGUUCUUGCAUAUGAAUCAAAUUUCUCUUGAAAAAAAUAAAAUAAUGAAUCAUUCAUGAAUUUAAAUAAUAUAGUAUUUCCAAUAAAUAUUUAUCUUUCAACAGUAUCAACUUAAAAUAGAAGGGAUACUAUAUUAUAUAGUAUCUCAAAAUAUUUGACAGAUUCAAUGCAUCACAAAAUCAUACAAAUUAAUAUUGAUUUAAUAAAAUUUCUAAAAUAGUACUAUUUAUUCAAUAUAAUUAUGUGAUUAAUUUUAAGUGAUCCAUGAACCAUAUAAUAAACAUAGGUUUAUUAAUACAUUAUAAGAGUUAGUAUUAUCAAUGAAUCAUAUAUAUAUAUAUAUAUAUAAAUAUAUAUAUAUGAUAUAGUAAUUUUUUGUUAUACAAAAACAAAGUAUAUAACAGUUAGCAAAUUCUAAACAAAGGUAUAUCUAACAUUUGUUAGCUAGCAAUUUUGGGUGGAUUGCUAGGCGGUUUGUUAAAUAACAAUUAAUAAAUUAAUAUGUACCGUAUCGCAACAGAGGUAUAUUAUAAAAAAAUGAUUUCACAAAUCUAAUAAAUCAAUAUGUAUAGUAUCGCAUUACAAACAAUCGAUUUCACCUAUUUUUUAAAAAUCAGAUCGGAGAUCGAACCGGUGAAAUUUAUAUUUUUUAAGGUUUAAUUGAUUCAACCGAUUAAAUAUACGGUCGAACUGUUUAUUAAAUAAAUUAAUAAUAUGAAACUAAAUUUCCUAGAUAUCACACAUAAUCAUAGUUCACAACUUAAUAAAAUAAAUAUUUUAAAAAUCUAUUAUAAAGUUAAUACAACAAUAUCGAUAAUAUAUAUAAGAGAUUAAUUAUUAUACACUGUCAAUGUAAAAAGUUUUACACUGUCGAUUCAUCACUAUCACCCGUUUGCAUUACUUUAUAGAUUUUUAAAAUAAAAGUCAAACUUGUUUUAAUAUCCAACAUAUAUGAUUAACUGACGAUUUAAAAUCCUUUUACGCUGUCAGUGUAUAUUAAUUAAAUUCUAUAUAUAAUAACAUAAUAUAGUUCUAUACUUCAUUUCAAAAUUAUUUGACCAAAUUAAAGAAUUACAAUAAAAUAAGUUAAACUAAUUCAAAUUAAUAGUAAAAUAAUAGAAUAUAAUAACUGAAAUAAAUUUUAAAUAAUUAAGAAUACAUAAAUUAAAGAAGAUAGAAUAUUAAAAAUAAAUAAUACAUUAUACUUUAUUAAACAACAAAAAAACGAAUUUGAGUUGAACUACGACAAACAAAUUUUAAUUAACAACAACAAAUAAUAUUGACUUGAACGACAAUCAAUAUUAUGUUGGAUAUCACUCUGUUUAAAAUAGACGACGUGAUGAUAAUGAAAUGUGGUUGAAAGAAAAACUAUAAUUGAGUGACACAAUUUAGAAAUUUGUAUGGUUUUGUAAAAAAGAACAUGAAAUUCUUUUUCUGUGAUUGGGAAAUGUACGUUAAUUUUUUAUAUUGAAAUAUUAAAAUUUAAAAAAAAUUAUAAAAAAAUGGUUAAUUUGAUGAUUUUUUUUGAACCGGGCAGUUUUACGAACCUGACUCCGGUUCGAAUGAUUUUGGACGAUUCAAUCUGGUUUUUCCGGUUUUACUCCGAUUUUGAUCCACUAACGGUUUUGAAAGAUUGACCAAACCAGAUUCAUCUCCGGUUCCCGGUCUAAUCGGUUGGACCGAUCGAUUCGGUCCGAUUUUUAAAACAUUGAAUUUCACAAAUAAAAAACAAACCAAUAUGUACAAUAUCGCAUUACAAACAAUUCAUUUCACAAAUCAAACCAAUAUUUACGACACCUUAACAAAUGUAUCGCAACUUGUAAUGUUAAUUAAGGUUUUUAUAUAAAUAAAAUUACUUGGUUUGUAAAAAUUAAUUUGAACAUCAUGUUGAAAUUGAUUUCAACAAUUGUUUAAGAUUGGUUGAAAUUGAUUUCAUCAAUUGUUUAGGAUUGGAUCAAAAUAAUUCGAAUCCUUAAUUCAUAAUCACAUAUUAACGACAAAUAAUUAAGUCCAAACUCAUAUGACUAAGCUCUGAUACCAAAUGUAAGCGGAAAAAUCCAUUGAUUAAUUAUAUGAAAUUAGAAUAUUAACACUUACAUGUUGAAGACAUGAUUUGAGAAUAAGGGUUGUCGUUCUUGUCACCCUGAUUCAGAAUCCUGAAAGGAUGAGUGACCGAAUCUUUCUCUGUAUCUCACACUCUUGUUCACAACUCUCAAUGGGACAAGUUAUGGAACCGUCAAUUAUUUUUUCUGAUUUUGGGAUUACAUGGGGACCUAGCCACAUGAUAUAUAACCCUAGUCCCUACCCAUUAUGGACCAAGGGUUAAAGCCCACACUUUUACCCACACCAUCAAGUUUCAGAUACUCAGAUUUUAAUUAAGAGAAUUUCUUAAUGCACCACUUAUGUUUCUUAACCACCACGCGAAAUUUUUUAAAUGUUCAUAGUUUCUGGAGAUGUAUAUCCAAACACAUCAAAUUCUAAAUGAACGUUGAAAUAUUUCGAAGAUGCAUCUCCGUAACAAUUUGAAACAUUUAAUACAUCCCACCUAGAAAUCAUUAUACACUUGAAUUGGACCAAAAAUGCAUCUCCGUGAAUAUUCAGAGAUACAUCUUUAUAACUAGGGAUGACAAUUUGACUCAUCCCUAGUGGACACCCAAAAAAAUACUCAUAAGGGGUAGGAUAAAAACCCGCAAAAAUGGAUACGGAUAUGAGCUCGGGUAAUUACCCACUAAAAUAAGUUGAUGAGUGCGAGUAUGAGCACCUUAGUACCCAACUCGCCUCAUACCGACACACUAUGUAUAUUUAUAUAUUUUAAUUUAUUUUAUUUUAUAAAAAUUUAUUUCUAUCAAUUUUAAAAACUACUUCAAUAUUAAACAAUUAAAUAUUUAAUAUAUAUGUUUGUUUAUUUCGUAAUUCGAUAAAAUAUUUUUUAAAAGCUUUUUAAUGUUCUUACAAACUUAAAAUGAUAUAUUAUGUUAUAAUAGAUUUAUUUACUUUUAUUAGAAAUACGGGUAACAGGUUUGGGCACGAGUAGUUACAUACCCACAUGACACAUGUGCGGGUGUUAAAGUUGGUGCCCAAGCGGGUAUAGGUCCGGGUACAUAGAUUUUUUCCAUCUGCGAUAUGGGGAUGGAUACUAUAGUACCCUGCUCAAACCCUGUCCAUCACCAUCUCUAUACGUAACGCCUCAGAACUUAGUCUUUCAUGUUAUAUUUUAUUUAUUUGUAUUCAAACGAAGAUUUAAACCACUCCAUACAGUCGAAAACCAAAAUUCUACUUACAUAAAUCCAGAUAGUCCAAAAAUGCCAUACAUAAACAAAAUACCAAUAAAUAUAAAAAAUGUCAUACAAUCGAGACCAAUAAAGUGGUAAGACCGUCAAAAUAAAAUACAGACCAUAGUAUUACUACUAUAUACUAAGACAUUACUAUGUAUGUCUGACUACCUCAACUCUACCUCAUCUUCCUCGUCUACCUCCUCGACCGUCAACCCCCCAACCCCAACGUUGUCUCCGAUACAUCAAUGCCCCCUGUGCCUCCGUCAUGAUGACAUCUAGGACUGACCUCACAUCAGACCCAUCAGGGAAGAUACCUCGGUCAAUGUCAGCCUGCACAAUCUCUAUAAUGCGAUGACAUCUAGGCAAGACAUCCUCAUCAGGAUCUAGUUGUGUCUGCUCUUCCUCUAGUAUCUCUAGAGGAUUUGGUCUCAGCGGUUCUCCUAGAGCGGCAUGCACCAUGUACGGAUGUGACACCCUAAAGAACCAUCUGAUAUACCCUUCAACGUAGCUUCAGUCUCUCUCAGCUAUGGUAGCUCGUGCAUCCUCCGGUACCAUAUGACUCUCAUAAUCAUCAACCAUGUCCUUUAUUUAUCUAUGUGUCAAGGAUGGAAGAGAAAAUACAGUAGGGUGUUUGAGAAUGGUCUGAGUGUAGUCGAACUUCCACAUGACGCGUUCGAGAAGAUGAGGAGCAUUGACACGCGGUCCGCAGACCAGCCAUUCAGAGUAUAUCACUAUCUCGUCAAAUUGUCGCGUCUCACGGUCCUAAAAUUUGUCAAAACUAAUCAAUGUCAGAAAUUUGUCAAUUAAAAUUAACGUAAGCAAAAUAAUGAAUCUGACUAAUGUUACCUCUCCGUCUCAGAUAUGUCUGGCAGUAUGGUCUGGAUACAUAGACAAUAAUGACAAAUUAACUGGGCCUACUCCAAAUGCCUCUGGAUCAACAGUAUCAGCAGUAAGAGGUGGCACUGGAUCAACAUCAACAAUAAAUAUAUAUGGGUGGAAAAAACCAUUCAUAGAAGAUUGAAAAAUACUAGGAGCUUUAGCAAGGCCAAAAGUCAUAGCCAAAAACUCACAAUGGCCAUCAAAAGUUGGUUAAUCUUAUAUGAGAAUUGAGCGGGAUUUUUAAGAUUGGACAAUUUUGGUUCAACAUCCUUGAUCUUGGCUUCUAUUAGUUUGGAUAAUCUUACAUCUUGUGAAAUUGAGUAUGCACCUUGGAUUUAAAACUCAUUUCAAAUUUUAGGGCUAAGACCAUAAAUAAAACAAUUUAAAAUUGUAUCCGGUGGAAAUCCUAAUACACGAUUCCGCAACUUUUAAAAAUUGAUUAUAUUCAUAAACAAUUUCAUGUUGUCUAAGUUUAAUAAUUGGACUUGGGGAUUUUCGUCAAGGGAUAAUUUGAGGGCUAUAGAGAUAGAGUUCCACUAAGUUAAUCAGUAGUUUUAAAAUAUUUAUUUAUAUCAUCCUAGAACAUCCUUUUUCAUAUAAAAAGCAGUUGUGGAUAAUUGUUUUGUUUGAAAUAACCACCAUAAUGGAUCGGUUCCGUAAAAAAAAGGGAUGUGGGGUAUUAUGAUUUUGCAAAAAAUGAAAAUAUAUGAGUUUGUUGAGACGGUAACGGUGAAGAGUGGCGGCUAAGAAAGUUGUGAAAGCUGAGUGAGCAUAAUGUAGUGAUAGGGGACUAAGUGGUUGUAGUGACAAUGUCUUCAAAGCUAUAAGGGUUAAGGGUGAGGAAGAUAUUCCUGGAGAAAUUAUGUUCUAUGAUGAAGAUGUUACCAUCACAUAAAUCUAUUGAGUCAUGAGGAAUCAAAGUGCUGUAAAUUUAGCUGCCAUACACUCAUCAUUGUUAUAGUCCAAUUGACUCAAUUGCAUGAAAAUGGCUUCGUAGUUGGUUUUUAAAUGAUCCGACUGUAUAUAGAUGGUUUGGUUGUUGGAUUCCAUAGUUGUUUCAAGGUUAGUGGUUGUAGAUGAUAAGCUCAUCAAGAUGAUAGUCUUUUACUUGAAGAAAUUUAUCAAAAAUCUUUUGGGGUGAAGUUUUAAAGGUUUAUGAGACAUUGAGGAUACGAUGAAAGCAUCAAUGAUAAAAGGUUUUAUUGCCACUAAUAAAAUUAGGGUUGAAUCAAAAAAAGUAAAGAAAUAAAAAUAAUAAAAAUAAAAUAAUAUUAUGAGUUUUCAAAUUGAUUAAUGUCACAUUUUAUAUUUUAAACACCAAAGCAUUCUUAAUGGAUCUAAAUGCUAACGAGUCACAGCCUACUUGAAGGAAUUCAAACAGAAAUCAUAAUAAAAUAUUAAAAUUAAAAAUAUUAUUUAAAGACACAAUUUUUUCUUCCGCAUAACAAUUCGUAUAGUUCCUUGAUAUAUUUAUCCCGCUGUCAACGUAACACUGUUUAAAAAUACUAACAUGUUUUUUGAAUCAUGCAUGUGUUUAGAGCUGUUCAAAAUAACCAUAAAUUAAAUUGAAUUGUCGAGCCGAAUAGAACGUUAAAAUAAUCGAAUAUUUUAAGUUUUGUUAAGUUUUGAUUAGGGAAUCAAACCAUAUUUUACAAAACAGUUCUAGAACCGUAUCGAAGAUAUAAUCGAACCGAAUUGAAACUAAAAUCGAACCGCACUGAAAAUAAAAAAUAUUAAAAAUAAAUUAUAAUUUUUUUUCAAAAAAUUCGAAAAAUAAUGUAAUGGUUCAAUUCUUUAAUAAAUGAUUCGAUUUGAAAAACAAAUGUCUUUUAAUGAUUCAGUACGGUUCAAAAAAUUUAAAUGGUAUAUCAAACCAAUGAUUUUGGUUUGAUUAAGGUCAUCGUGACUAAAGUGAAAUGAUUUUAAUUCAAAUAAACUUUUAUCUCACUUUACUAUUUGUAACUUGUUGAAUAGUUUAAUUAAACUUAGUCGCUUUUAAUUGAACUUCACUGCUAUUUAUAUUGCCCCAAUCAUCUAAUAAGCAAUCCAAAUGCCAUGCUUUUGACCUGCAAAUCCGGAUCUCCUCAAUAGGACCAAACAUAUAUAUAUAUAUAUAUAUAUUGUUGAACUUGAUUUUAUUUUGUUAGAGAAAAUCAAAGUUUAUUAACCAAUACACACUUUCCCGGAUAAUACAAGUGGUUGAUAAAAGAUUGUGGCCAUACUCGAACUUAUUAAAAUGCAGACAAUCUUUUAUUAAAAUGUAGACAUGACAUUUCAGCAUCCGAAUCUCCAUAAUCUCUUCUUUUUCCCCUCCAACAUGUUAGGAGAGGAUUGGUGUCUCCUAAGUGAAUUUGACCCCUUUCAAUUUUCAAGUGAUUGAUAAUACUUUUGAAGAGGGCCAACACGUAGUACAUGAUAACGUUGUUAAACAUUUUGAAAUUAGACAAAGUUGUUGUCACUACUAAUCAAGCAUCAUUAAAUUUCAACAAGUUUGACUCCCACUUUCUUAACAUUGGUAAACAUUUUUUCAACUAUAGUCGAUCAAUAUUAAGGAUGAGCAACAAAAUGACAAAUAGAUAAUUUUAAAAAAAAACUAUCCAAUCAAUCCUACAAUAACGGUCAUAUUUGAAAAUAAAAUAAAAUAUAGGUUUCUAAAAUAAAUAUAUUUUUUACUUUUUAAUAUAAUAUUUAAGAAGUUUAUUUAAUUACAUUCUCAAAUUGAUAUUACAGUGCAUUACCUUUAAGUUAAUAUAGUUAGCAGUAUCUAGCAACACAUCACUGCUAUCCAAGACACGAAAAUGUCAUGUAAUCUGACAAAUUAUUUUUUGUGAUAGUACUUGUGUGUACAAUUAUCUUUGUUGCCCUUAUGUCUAUAUUGAACACAAGGCAUAAACCAUGUCAUCCUUGUCCAGUUCAAUAUUGGGCCCUUAUACAUUUAUCCUGUUAUGCAGGAUGGGAAAAUUCCAUCAAGGUCACUCAUGUCCCUCAACAUGCUUCGUGGAAUACCAAUUAACUGUCUUUAUGGUCAUCCAGUUACAGACAAUGUUUGAUCAGCAAUAAAACACUCGACUUCACAUCUAGGGUCCAUAGUGAUUUCAGGUCGAAGGAUGGUAUACACCACUAUCACUAUGAGAAUAACUUAUGACACUUUGCAUAAUAUUUUAUGUAGUAUUCUCAUGGCGGGUCAAUCCAGUAUAAAUAUUACUCCUAAUAUUCAUACUUAUGUUUAAGACUUGAUAACUCCUUAUCCAUGAUUCAUGAGAUAUGAUCAUCACUUUAUAUACAUAAUAGUCUUAAUGCUUUAAUAUUAUCCCACUUCAAAAUAAAGCUCGAUUAUGAAUACUUUAAGAAUAAUGUCCUUAUGUUUAAUGGGAUCUCAUGAUCAAGUAACACUUGAUACAUUAAACGAACUAGCUAUUCUAGGGACUUUAUUAAACAAACAUAAUAAAGAAAAAUCUAUUCUAGGGACUUGAUUAAACAAAAGUAUUGGCCUCUAGGGCUUACAUCAACAAUCUCCCACUAGCACUAGAGCCAAUCAGGCAUACCCCUAAUACCCAUAGAUCUAGUAUGACCAUCAUGCUUCAGCUACGCAAGAGGGUUUGUCAGUGGGUCAACAAUAUUGUCAAGUGUAGGUACUCUGUAUAUUUUCACAUCUUGUCUAUCUAUUAUCUCUCGAAUGAGGUGAUAACACCUAAGUAUGUGUUUGGAUCGUUGGUGAGAUCUAGACUCCUUAGCUUGUGCGAUAGCAUCAUUGUUAUCACAAUAGAGAUCAAUGGGAUCCACAAUGCUAGGAACUAUGCCAAGUUCACUGAUAAACUUUUUGAUCCAAACAACUUCCUUUGCUGCACUUGAGGCAGCAAUAUACUCGACCUCGAUUGUAGAAUCAACAAUUGUAUCUUGCUUUGAACUUUUCCAGCUCACAAUGCCACCGUUUAAGCAUAACACAUAACCAUAUUGCGAUCUAAAGUCAUCUUUAUCUGUCUGAAAGCUAGCAUCGGUGUAUCCAAUUAAAACAAGCUCUUCCUGACCUCCAUAUAUCAAGAAUGAGUCCUCAGUCCUUCUUAAAUACUUAAGGAUAUUCUUGUCAGCUACCCAAUGAGCAUCACUGGGAUCAGAUUGGUACCUACUCGUUGCACUUAAAGCAUACGAGACAUCUGGUUAGGAACAUAACAUGGCAUACAUGAUAGAUCCUAUUGAAAAUGCAUAUGGAAUCUUAUUCAUGCGAUCCCUUUCUUCCUUAGUUGAAGGGGAUUGUGUUUUUGAUAGACGCAGACCAUGUUGCAUAAGUAUGAAUCCUUUCUUGGAAUCAUGCAUAUUAAAAGCGUCUCAACACUUUGUCUAUGUAUGUACUCUGACUUAGGCUAAGAAGUUUUUGUGAUCUAUCUCUAUAGAUCCUUAUUCCUAAUAUUUAGGCUACUUCACCUAGGUCCUUCAUAGAAAAGCAUUUCCCAAACCAAGUCUUUACUUGUUGCAGGGUAGGGACAUCGUUUCCAAUGAGUAAUAUGUCAUCUACAUAUAAUACCAAGAAGAAGAUCAUGCUUUUACUAACCUUCUUUUAGACACAAGGCUCAUCUUCAUUCUUGAUGAAUCCAUAUUGUUUUACUGUUUUAUCAAAAUGAAGAUUCCAACUUCUGGAAGCUUGCUUAAAUAUAUAGAUUGAUCUCUGUAACUUGCAUAUCUUUUGGGCUUCUUCUAGUAUGUCAAAUCCUUCAGGUUGUAUCAUGUACACAUCCUCAAGAAGAUUCCCAUUAAGGAAAGCAGUUUUGACAUCCAUUUGUCAUAUUUCAUAAUCAUGAUAUGCAUCGAUAGCAAGUAAAAACCAAACAAUUUUAAGCAUAGAAACUGGUGAAAAGGUUUCAUCAUAGUCAACCACAUGAAUUUGUUUAUAUCCUUUUGCAAUCAGUCUUGUCGUAUAGGUAUGUACCUUACCAUCCAUGUCAGUCUUCUUUUUGAAGACCCACUUGCAUCCUAUAGGGUUAACUCCUACAAGAGGCUCUACCAAGGUCCAAACCUGGUUUGUGUACAUGGAAUCCAUUACAUGUCAGUCUUCUUUUUGAAGACCCACUUGCAUCCUAUAGGGUUAACUCCUACAAGAGGCUCUACCAAGGUCCAAACCUGGUUUGUGUACAUGGAAUCCAUUUUAGAUUUCAUGGCUUCUAGCCACCUAUCAGACUUAGGACCAGUUAUGGCCUCUUGGUAGGUCACAAACUCA